GAAAUGCGAUAAGUAAUGUGAAUUGCAGAAUUCAGUGAAUCAUCGAAUCUUUGAACGCACAUUGCGCCCCCUGGUAUUCCGGGGGGCAUGCCUGUUCGAGCGUCAUUUCACCACUCAAGCCUCGCUUGGUAUUGGGCAACGCGGUCCGCCGCGUGCCUCAAAUCGACCGGCUGGGUCUUCUGUCCCCUAAGCGUUGUGGAAACUAUUCGCUAAAGGGUGCUCGGGAGGCUACGCCGUAAAACAAACCCAUUUCUAAGGUUGACCUCGGAUCAGGUAGGGAUACCCGCUGAACUUAAGC
rnacentral:misc_RNA from 1 species